rnacentral:rRNA from 1 species
GACAGAGGGUGCAAACGUUGUUCGGAAUUACUGGGCGUAAAGCGCGUGUAGGCGGCUUGGCAAGUCGGAUGUGAAAGCCCCGGGCUCAACCUGGGAAUUGCAUUUGAGACUGCGUAGCUAGGGUGCGGAAGAGGGAAGCGGAAUUUCCGGUGUAGCGGUGAAAUGCGUAGAUAUCUGGAGGAACACCGGUGGCGAAGGCGGCAUCCUGGACCAACACUGACGCUGAGUGAGCGAAAGCCAGGGGAGCAAACGGG